UAAGGAAUCCUCCACAAUGGGGGCAACCCUGAUGGAGCAACGCCGCGUGCAGGAUGAAGGUUUUCGGAUCGUAAACUGCUUUUAUUAGUGAAGAAUAUGACGGUAACUAAUGAAUAAGGAUCGGCUAACUACGUGCCAGCAGCCGCGGUCAUACGUAGGAUCCGAGCGUUAUCCGGAGUGACUUGGCGUAAAGAGUUGCGUAGGUGGUGUGUAAAGCGAAUAGUGAAAUCUGGUGGCUCAACCAUACAGGCUAUUAUUCGAACUCACACACUCGAGAACAGCAGAGGUAACUGGAAUUUCUGAAGUAGGGGUAAUAUCCGUAGAUAUCAGAAGGAACACCAAUGGCGUAGGCAGGUUACUGGGCUGUUUCUGACACUGAGGCACGAAAGCGUGGGGAGCGAAC
rnacentral:rRNA from 1 species